UGGGGAAUUUUGGACAAUGGGCGAAAGCCUGAUCCAGCAAUGCCGCGUGUGUGAAGAAGGCCUUCGGGUUGUAAAGCACUUUUGUCCGGAAAGAAAUCCUUGGCUCUAAUACAGUCGGGGGAUGACGGUACCGGAAGAAUAAGCACCGGCUAACUACGUGCCAGCAGCCGCGGUAAUACGUAGGGUGCAAGCGUUAAUCGGAAUUACUGGGUGUAAAGCGUGCGCAGGCGGUUUGCUAAGACCGAUGUGAAAUCCCCGGGCUCAACCUGGGAACUGCAUUGGUGACUGGCAGGCUAGAGUAUGGCAGAGGGGGGUAGAAUUCCACGUGUAGCAGUGAAAUGCGUAGAGAUGUGGAGGAAUACCGAUGGCGAAGGCAGCCCCCUGGGGCCAAAUACUGACGCUCAUGCACGAAAGCGUGGGGAGCAAACAGGAUUAGAUACCCUGGUAGUCCACGCCCUAAACGAUGUCAACUAGUUGUUGGGGAUUCAUUCCUUAGUAACGUAGCUAACGCGUGAAGUUGACCGCCUGGGGAGUACGGUCG
rnacentral:rRNA from 1 species